rnacentral:rRNA from 1 species
UGGGGAAUAUUGGACAAUGGGCGAAAGCCUGAUCCAGCCAUGCCGCGUGAGCGAUGAAGGCCCUAGGGUUGUAAAGCUCUUUUAGCGGGGAAGAUAAUGACGGUACCCGCAGAAUAAGCCCCGGCUAACUUCGUGCCAGCAGCCGCGGUAAUACGAAGGGGGCUAGCGUUGCUCGGAAUCACUGGGCGUAAAGGGCGCGUAGGCGGCCAUUCAAGUCGGGGGUGAAAGCCCAGGGCUCAACCCUGGAAUUGCUUUCGAUACUGUUUGGCUAGGGACCGGAAGAGGUAAAUGGAACUGCGAGUGUAGAGGUGAAAUUCGUAGAUAUUCGCAAGAACACCGGUGGCGAAGGCGGCUUACUGGUCCGGUUCUGACGCUGAGGCGCGAAAGCGUGGGGAGCAAACAGG